UUGCUAUUUCUUGGGCCGCUCCCGCGGCAUAUGGAGGUUCCCAGGCUAGGGGUCGAAUCGGAGCUGGAGCCACCAGCCUACGCCAGAGCCACAGCAACGCAGGAUCCGAGCCGCGUCUGCAACCUACACCACAGCUCACGGCAACGCCGGAUCAUUAACCCACUGAGCAAGCGCAGGGACCGAACCCGCAACCUCAUGGUUCCUAGUCGGAUUCGUUAACCACUGCGCCACGACGGGAACUCCAAGUUUAUUUUUAUUUUUGUUUCUAUUUCUUAUUUUUUAUGGCCACACUCACAACAUAUGGAAGUUCCUGGGCCAGGGACUGAAUCCAAGGUUCCGUCCAGAGCAUUUAACCCCCUGCGCCAGCCAGGGAUUGAACCCACACCUCCACAGUGACCUCAGUCACCGUGGUCUGAUUCUUAAGCCAUUGUGCCACAGUGGGAACUCCCUAUUUUUAUUUUGAAUGUGCUAUCAGGAAAAAUAAUUAUGCAGUGACUUACAUUCUAUUUCUACUCAUUAUAUUUUUAUUGGGCGUUAACUACAUCUCUGCUGCUCUAGACUAUAAAGCCCUUCGUUUUUCUCUAAUCUGGUCUCUGCCAUUCUCCUGCAGGAUUCUGAACUCUAGUCUUGCUGAACUUCUGGGAGUUCCUCACAUAGCAUGAUUUAAGUAAGUCCCUUAACUUCUCUGAGUCUCUUUCCUCAUUUGAAAAUUGAGCAUGCUAAUAAAACCUUCCUCAUAAGAUAUUUAUAAGGGUUAAACAGGAUGCUGCAUGUAAAAUGCCUUGAGAAGUUCAGCUUCAGCACUUAACAAAUAUUAGUUGUAAGUCAUUAAAAACAGAUCUCCUGAGUUCCACUUCCUGAACAGCAGGGUAAGUAUCUCUGCAGAACUGCUCUCUAAUGAAACAAGCACAAUUGGUAAAAAUUGCUUUUAUAAAAAGUUUAAAUGUCUGGAGAACUUCAGUUUUAGGUCUAACAUCUAACAAACUCAUAAAGUGUCACUCCUAGACUUGCUAGAAGAAAAAAGCUGAACAACUUGAAAAUCAAUGACUUUUCCUGGUACCACCAGAAAACUGCAAUCACAGAGCAGAGCAUCACCCCAGAAUCUGAAGAGACAGAGGAAUACAGAGUCACAGCUAAGGUCAGGCUGCAUCUGUGGCAUAUGGACGUUCCCAGGCUAGGGAUGAAUUGGAGCUACAUCUGCUGGCCUACACCACAGCCAUAGCAAUAUAGGAUCUGAGUGUGUCUGCCAUCUACACCAUGGCUCACGGCAACGCUGAAUCAUUAAUCCACUGAGUGAGGCCAGGGAUCAAACCUGCAUCCUCAUGGAUACUAGUCGGGUUCAUUACUGCUGAGCCAUGAUAGGAACUUCCAAGAUAAUAUAUUCAUGUAAUUGUGGAGGCUGGCAAGUCCAAAGUCUGCAGGGCAAGGUUUUAGGCUAGAGCUCAAGGGAAGAGUUGAUUGUAUUCUCGAGUCCAAGGCCCAUCUGGAGGCAGAAAUUCUUCUCUCUCCUGGAGACUUUUAAGGCUUUUGACUGAUUAGAUGAGGCCCACCCAUAGCACUGAGGGUAAUUUGCUGUACACAAAGUCUGUUUAUUUAUUUAUUUAUUUAUUUAUUUAUUAUUUUGAAGGCCACACCAUGGCAUAUGGAAAUUACCAGGCUAGGGUCCAAUCGAGCUGUAGCCGCUGGCCUAUGCCACAGCCACAGCAACGCCAGAUCCAAGUUGCAUCUGCAACCUAUACCGGAGAUCACAGCAAUGCCAGAUUCUUAACCUAGUGAGGCCAGGGGUUGAACCUGCAACCUCAUGGUUCCUAGUCAGAUUCGUUUCUGCUGAGCCAGAACAGGAACUCUGAAAGUCUCUCUAUUUAAAUGUUAAUCUCAUCUAAAAUAUAGCUAUAUAGCAACACCUGGAUGGGUGUCUGACCAAACAACCAGUCACCACAGCCUAGCAAAGUUGAUACAUAAAAUGAACCAUUAUGCUAAGCAUGGAACAAUUUGGAAAUGAGAGGUCCCAGGCUAAGGGGAGUUGCCACACAUUCAUGUGUUACCUCCAGGAAUUCCACCAGGUUCUCACUGUUAGAAUCAAGGGAGAGACUCUCGUGCCCUAGUGGGGUAUGAAAACAAUCUUUGGGAUCUACACCAUGGGUGGGGUGUUCUUCCCAAGACGGGCCUCUUUUUAGGAGAAAAGAUCUUAGCAGAGCCUUAUCUGACCUGGGAGAGACCAUGCAGCAUCCCUGCCUCUUGCAAAGGGGAUGGAAGUCCCUAAAGGUGACCCAUGUAUCAGCACUGCUCCUGGGCCUGUGUGUAUUGCCUGUCUCUUAAAAAGAAAUGGACAAAUUUAGGAUUCCAAAGAUCAAAGAUAAUAGACACAAUUCUGAACUUCCUAUGAGCUUCAGUCACUGAGCCGUGUCAAUUUAGAACAAGCCCAAUGCUCAGACACUGGAGAAGAACCCCGGCUGUCUCUUCGCUGAGACCCGAAAUGCUGGCUUUGGCCCCAAGCUGCCUCUGAACAACGGGAGGGGCCCCUGGCCACCUCUGCCUUUCAUACUUUCUGCUCUACUCCUUCGCCAGCGAAUCCUUUUAUUAUGUUAAACUGGGACGUCAUUACUGGAAUUAGAAAGGAAAAUACCAGCUGCUUUGUCCUCCAGGAAGCACUAAUUAGCCAGCAGCCAGGAUCUCAAGCGACAAUGGGACUUGUGCAGGCUAAUUACCAGCUAGCUGCCUCCACACCCUGGGUGGCUCAAGCUCCAGCACCUGCACUUCAGGGCUGAGAUAUUUUUAGGAUCUGGAAUUUCCCCUGGCCCUUAGCUUGCUUUUGAUGUCUUCAUCACACAUCUCCUUUUGCAAUCGUUUCCUCACUGGUCUCUGAUUUCCAGCCAACCCAUCUUGCACAAAAAAGCCAAAUUCAUUGCCUUAAAACACAGCUCCAAUCAUAUAAUUUCCCAACCCCAAUUUGUCAGCAUAAUCCCUGUGCUGUAAAUUACAGUCCAACCCAGAAGGCUUUAUAUAAAAGGACCCAAGCCCACCUUGCCAGCCUCCUGGCAGUCCUUGCCUUCCUUAGCAUCCCCACCCUCACCCCAAUUGGCACCUUCACCUCUGACGUGCUCUUAUCAUUGCCGUGGGAGUGUUAAGGGCAGAAACAGUUUUUGGACUGAUAAAGACCAAUAAAGAAUCUGGAGGUGUGGGGAAAGUGUAACAAUCUAAAAGCUGCCUGGGGGACCCUAUCACUCAGCUGGGAUGGAGAUUCUGGGGUAGGCAGUUCAGGAGGGACUGGAAUCAGGCUUGUGGGUAGGUGCAUGGAAGGUGUGUAUAUCUUCCAGCCAAAGCCUGCCACACAGCCCUCUCCAUCCCUCAUGGCCUAAUUGGGGUUUUGUAUUCUCACUAUGUUAUGACUUGCAUCUUCCCUUAAACUCUGACCACACAGACAUCCUGCUUAACAUCUGACCACACACUGACAUCCUGCUUCCCUCUUUCUAGACUCAUCUGGUGAGAGCGAGAGCUCACCACCGUGAAUUAGGUUUUGCCCAGGCCAGGUCCUAGUUUGUUACACCUCUUUGGACACUGUCUACACUGCAGUCCAACCUGCAGCCUCCAUUUUCUCCCCUCUGACCCAGCACCCACAUUUUCUCUGCUCAGAAGCCCUCUUAGCUCAGUCUGUUACAUGCAAAUGCUUAUAACAGGUGGCUCAAAUGGAAGUUAUCUCCAGAAACCAAGAUGCAAUUCAUGUGUGAUGGUGAAAUGAUGUGUCAGACCGCCUAGUGUAAAAUUUACAGAAGAAAAAUCUCCUUACAGGUUUCACACUCUCAUCCCCUUAGUACAGAGAGAGAGGAAGUGUAUAUGUGUGGGAAAAAGAGAGAGAGAAGUGACCUUCCUGAUGUGAAUCUGGCUACCAUUUGGGGGGGGUCCCCACCCCUUACCACGCACCAGGUGUCUGUGGUUUUCUAACUUCUAUCCCAGAGUCAAGGAGAAGCCUAAGAUCUCUCUGGAGUUGGAGGUUGAGAGGCACCUGUACCUGCCUCUGAUGCUCCAGGGACCCUAGAGGCUGAGGUAGUUGCUGAUAAGCUCUGGCAUCAAAGGCAGGAGGGUAGGCAGCCCUAGUGCACUACCCUGGUCCAGCCUACCAGGAGCAGGAUACUGAUGUGUCUUCUGGACCAGAUUGGGGAGCAGGAGCCACACCAGGGAUGGGUGGGCAGAAAAGAAACAUGGCCCCCUAGGGACACACUACCAUGAUUGUAAUAGGAACUCUAGGUAACAAGAUCCCCAGGCAAGAGAAUUUCUCAAAAAAUACCCCUGGAAGAAAAGAGUUGGUUUUCCACCAUUGGUGCUUCCUCUUCCCUGCCUAGCCAGCCGGUCCAGUCCUGGUCUCAAUGGCUACAGUGGCUGUUGGCCCAGGCUGGCCCUCUGCCUCCCACAGCUGUGUCCUGAGCCAAGAAACACGUUUAUUCAAAACCAUAAUCAGUCUGAAAUUAAACAGAAGAGACCAGUCAUCAAAACUAAAAGAAGGGAAAAGCCAGGGUGGGGAGAGAAGCACAAUUCCAAUUCCUCCAUCUCCUGGCACCGAUCCCCAGCCCAUGUGCCCUGGUGGGGCUGCCUACAGCUGGGAAGGGGAGGGGUAGGGAGAGGUCCAGCCCUCUGAGGCUUCAGCUGCAGGUUGAUGCCUUGCACAGAGCUCAUCACUGAUGAAUCCAGCAGGGUCUGGGUUGCCAUUAUCUGGGAUGGACAGUAAAGUUAGGGCCUCCCUUGCUUCUUAGGACAACUGGGAAAGAGGCUACCUCUGCUAGCUAUAUCUCCAAGGGACAAUGGACUCCACAUCUACCUCUCAAUUCUCAAGGAGGCUUGUCCAUCACCUUUAUGCCAGCCCCUUCAGGAGCCUGCCUCACUACUGCAAAGCCUUGCUCCAUUGCUUUUCUCUCCGAAAAGGGCUUCCACUUUUUACCUUCUUUUUUGUUUUGCACUCCUUAUGGCCUGGUACUUAUGUCAGUGUGUACAUUUUAUUUCCCCUGCCACCGUCCCCUCUUAAACAGAGCAUUUAUUUGGUACCGACUCUGUACCAGCCACUGUGCAAAGUCCCUGCCCACCUUGUUGUUGCUGGAUUCCUGAAACCUCUGAGGUUUAUUUGUCCUGGA
rnacentral:lncRNA from 1 species